rnacentral:misc_RNA from 1 species
CUUGGUUUAGAGGAAGUAAAAGUCGUAACAAGGUUUCCGUAGGUGAACCUGCGGAAGGAUCAUUAACACGUGAAUACUCACGUAUUAAACUAACCGUGAACUGUUGUAUCCCCUGGUGUAGAACAUAGGUGACAAGAUCGUGAAUUUUGGUGCGAGAUGUAACAGUCUCUCGCUUUCUUGUCUGUUGGGUCCAGUGAUUAAGUUCCGCUGAGAGCUCAUGCCCAUGCCUACAUUCAGAAGACUAAUUACCGGUGUUAAGCCUGCCCAAUGGCUUGCAUUUGGUGGUGCUAUUUUAACCCCUUUUACUAUUUAUUUCUGAUGUGUAUGCUUAUAUGAAUUCCCUUCAUUGGUUGAGUUCUAUAAGUGUCGUAUAUAUUUAAUACGAAACAACUCUUAGCAACGGAUAUCUUGGUUCUC